AGUCGGUGGUAAACUUCAUCUAAGACUUAAUAUUGCCACGAGGCCGAUAGCAAACAAGUACUGUGAAGGAAAGUUGCAAAGCACUUUGAAGAGAGAGUUAAAGAGGACGUGAAACCGGUGAGGUGGAAACUGAUAGAGUCGGCGUAUCAUUCAAGUAUUCAGUUACAUUAUUUUUAUGUUGUAAACUCUGAGCUCCAGAUUGGGACAGAGUGAAGCAGCAUAAUUUUUUGUGGUGCAUUUACUUGAUUGGUGCUUGGGGAUGUUUGAGGCAGAUUUGUUUCCGUCGUUUUGAGGCCAGCUUGCUGGUACCCAAACGGUGUUAGCAUUUUUUGUCUUAGACAUUUGAGUAUGGCUUACGGACAUUUAUUGGUUCGAGCUGAGUGUAGGUUACGGUCGCGUGCGAUACGUGCUUUUCGUUUAGAUCGGUCCAGUUUAUGCCCCCGUACUCCUUCCCCAUGUAACAUCCGGUCAUCUAUCCGACCCGUCUUGAAACACGGACCAAGGAGUUUAUCGUGUGCGCAAGUUUUUGGGUGUUAAAAACCUAAAAGCGAAAUGAAAGUAAAUGGCUCUUUAGAGUCUGAUGUGCGAUCUAGUAAAAAAGAACAGCAUGGCCCCAUUCUAACUGUUUACAGUAGGGUGGCGGAAGAGCGUACGCGGUGAGACCCGAAAGAUGGUGAACUAUUCCUGAGCAGGACGAAGCCAGAGGAAACUCUGGUGGAAGUCCGAAGCGGUUCUGAC
rnacentral:rRNA from 1 species